GUUUAAUUAGUUUAAUUUAAAAUUGUAAAUUGUGGAUUUACAGAUGGGUAACACAUUAAACA
rnacentral:tRNA from 1 species